rnacentral:rRNA from 1 species
CCCUUAGAUGUUCUGGGCUGCACGCGCGCUACACUGAUGCACUCAACGAGUUUACGAGCUUGUCCGAGAGGAUUGGCUAAUCUUUUUAAAAUGCAUCGUGAUGGGGAUAGAUUAUUGCAAUUAUUAAUCUUCAACGAGGAAUUCCUAGUAAGCGCGAGUCAUCAGCUCGUGCUGAUUACGUCCCUGCCCUUUGUACACACCGCCCGUUGGUCCUACCGAUUGAGUGUGUUGGUGAGGAGUUCGGAUUGGCAGCAGGUGGUGGUUCGCCACCGCCUAUUGCUGAGAAGUUCUCCAAACCGCCCCACUUAGAGGAAGGAGAANUCGUAACA